rnacentral:ncRNA from 1 species
GAAAAGUUUUAUUUUGGUUUAAAUAAUAAGUAAAUAAUUUUUUUACAUGUAAAUUUAAGUAUUUAAUAAUAUAGUUUUUGAUAGGUUAUAUUAAUAUAAUUUGUUCGCAGUAUUUAAUUUUAAAUAUUAAAGAGAUUUAGAUUUAGAAAUUUAUUUAAAUAUUAACAUAAUUUGUGCCAGCAGUUGCGGUUACACAAAUAAUAUAAUUUAUUAUUAUUAAUUUGUAGUUAAUUGAUUUAUAUACUAAAAAUUUUCGUUAUAAUUUAUUAAGUGAAAUUUUAAAUUGUGAUUAAAUUUAAUUAAAAAUUAUAAAGCUAUUAAAUUUUAUAUAAAACUAGGAUUAGAUACCCUAUUAUAAAAAUGUAAAUAUGUAAAUUUAAUUAUUAAUAGUUAUAGGCUUUAAAGUUAAAAAAUUUGGCGGUAUUUUAAUCUGUUCAGAGGAACCUGUUCUGUAAUUGAUAUUCCACGAUUAAAAUAACUUGAUUUAAAAAUUUGUAUAUCGUCGUAGUUGAAUAUUUUAUUAGAAAAAUAAUAUUCAUGAUGUUAAUUUUAAAAAUAAAUCAGAUCAAGAUGCAGUUUAUAAUUAAGUAGAAAUGGGUUACAAUAAAAUAAAGAUUUUUGGAUUUAAUUUUUAAAAGGUUGAUGAAAUUGGAUUUGUUUGUAAUUAAGUUAAUUUAGGCUUAAUGAUUUUAGUUCUAAAAUAUGUACAUAUCGCCCGUCGCUCUCAUUUAAGUUGAGAUAAGUCGUAACAUAGUAAAUGUACUGGAAAGUGUAUUUAGCUUGAC